GGAUACGGCCAUACUGCGCAGAAAGCACCACUUCCCAUCCGAACAGUGAAGUUAAGCUGCGCCAGGCGGUGUUAGUACUGGGGUGGGCGACCACCCGGGAAUCCUCCGUGCCGUAUCCUUUU
rnacentral:rRNA from 1 species